rnacentral:rRNA from 1 species
GACGAACGCUGGCGGCGUGCUUAACACAUGCAAGUCGAACGGAAAGGCCCUGCUUUUGUGGGGUGCUCGAGUGGCGAACGGGCGAGUAACACGUGAGUAACCUGCCCUUGACUUUGGGAUAACUUCAGGAAACUGGGGCUAAUACCGGAUAGGAGCUCCUGCUGCAUGGUGGGGGUUGGAAAGUUUCGGCGGUUGGGGAUGGACUCGCGGCUUAUCAGCUUGUUGGUGGGGUAGUGGCUUACCAAGGCUUUGACGGGUAGCCGGCCUGAGAGGGUGACCGGCCACAUUGGGACUGAGAUACGGCCCAGACUCCUACGGGAGGCAGCAGUGGGGAAUAUUGCACAAUGGGCGGAAGCCUGAUGCAGCAACGCCGCGUGCGGGAUGACGGCCUUCGAGUUGUAAACCGCUUUCGCCUGUGACGAAGCGUGAGUGACGGUAAUGGGUAAAGAAGCACCGGCUAACUACGUG